rnacentral:rRNA from 1 species
CCUACGGGAGGCAGCAGUAGGGAAUCUUCCACAAUGGGCGAAAGCCUGAUGGAGCAACGCCGCGUGGGUGAAGAAGGUCUUCGGAUCGUAAAACCCUGUUGUUAGAGAAGAAAGUGCGUGAGAGUAACUGUUCACGUUUCGACGGUAUCUAACCAGAAAGCCACGGCUAACUACGUGCCAGCAGCCGCGGUAAUACGUAGGUGGCAAGCGUUAUCCGGAUUUAUUGGGCGUAAAGGGAACGCAGGCGGUCUUUUAAGUCUGAUGUGAAAGCCUUCGGCUUAACCGGAGUAGUGCAUUGGAAACUGGGUGACGUGAGUGCAGAUGAGGAGAGGGGAACUCCAUGUGUAGCGGUGAAAUGCGUAGAUAUAUGGAAGAACACCAGUGGCGAAAGCGGCUCUCUGGUCUGUAACUGACGCUGAGGUUCGAAAGCGUGGGUAGCAAACAGGAUUAGAUACCCUGGUAGUC